UACUUUAAGAAAUAAUUUAAAGCAAAACCUGCUCACUGUAAAUAUAAAUAGCUGCAGUUUUACUGUACUAAGGUAGCAUAAUCAUUAGCCUUCUAAUUAAAGGAUAGUAUGAAAGGUUAAACGAAAUAUACUUUAUCUCUAAAAACUUAAUAAAUUUAAAAUAAAAGUUAAAAUUCUUUUAAAUAUCAGAAGGACGAUAAGACCCUAUAAACUUUACAUUUUGCUGGGGCGGCAAUACUUAAAAAAACCUUAAUUUUACAAUAAAAUAUUUCUAAUAUAAUUAAUUUAAGUUACUUUAGGGAUAACAGCGCAAUAUUUUUUAAAAGAUCUUAUAAAAAAAAAUUCUUACGACCUCGAUGUUGAAUUAAUUAUUCUAUUUAGUGCAAAAACUAAAAAAGUUAGUCUGUUCGACUAUUAAAUAAUU
rnacentral:rRNA from 1 species